rnacentral:lncRNA from 10 species
GAAACAGCAUACUGUAAUACAUGCCCACUGGGGCUUGAGCUGUAAACAUUCACCCCUAGACACUGCUGUGGGGUUGGAGCCCCACAACCUGCCCAUCUGCAUGUUUCCCCUAGAGGUUUGAGCAGCAGGACACUGAAGUAGCGAGCCACACCCCCAUCCAUCACAUGCCCUGCAAGGGUGAUAAAGAAACUUUUCCUGUUUCAACUGGGGGAUCGUCCAGGAUCAUGGAAGAACUGGCAACCAGUUCGCUUCACCACCCCCAGCUUAUACUCCUCUGAAGCCAUCAAACUCCAAACGGUCAGGCAACUGGAGCCUCGGACAAUGACUCCCUUUUGCCAGGAACCUUUAGAUAGACCUCUGGGAAGAAUUUGACUGCUGUUUUCCCCAAAACAACACUCUCUGUGAGCAGGAAUCAGCUAAGACUGGUCAUUAUCCAUAGUCUAAUAGCAGUUAGAUGUACCCAUUCAGAGGGGGCAUGUAAUACAGGAGAGGUCAGGGAAGUGCUUGGAAGGGAAGGGUGUGGCCCCUGGCUAGGGCUCCACCCCCAGGCCUGUGCCUAUGGACCUAGGUGAGGACAGACAUUUCUGUUUCGUACCCAAUUGCUGCAAUUCUCAAACCACCCUGGCCUGUCACAAGACACCAGCAGGCAGGCACACAAGUGACUGUAUGUCAAGAGGGACACAUUGAUGUAAGGAGACACAAGCAAUUGGAUGCGGAGAGGAAUGCACUGGCUUAAGAGCACACCAACAGGUACCAGCAGACACCAGGAGGUCAUCAACGGCAGAAUGAUGUGGAGUUAGGCCAGGGUGGUCAGAGGAGAGCCUGGCACUGAACAACCCAAUUUCAGAAGGAAAAACCACCUUUUCUCUCCAUCUCCCUUCUGGCUCCCCCAUCUGUUGAGAGCUACUUCCACUCAAGAAAACCUUGCACUCAUACUCCAAGCCCACGUGUGAUCUGAUUCUUCCGGUACACCAAGGAAAGAAACUCUGGGAUACAGAAAGCCCUCUGUCCUUGUGAUAAGGCAGGGGGUCUAAUUGAGCUAACACAAGCUGCCUAUGGACCCCUAAACUAAAAGAGCACCCUGUGACACAUGCCGGCUGGGAGUUCAGCUGCAAACAUCACCCCUAGACACUGCCAUGGGGUCAGAGCCCACAGCCUGCCCAUCUGCAUGCUCCCCCUAGAGGUUUGAGCAGUGGGGCACCAAAGAAGCAAGUCACACCCUCAUUACAAGACCUGCGAGGGGGAUAAGCGAGUUUUUCCUGUUUCAGUAUUAGAUAUUUUAAAAUUAUGAAUGUGUAGAAACUCAACAUUCUUAUAGAGUUCAUACAUAGAAUUUUCCAUGAAAUAGCUAUAGCUACAUGGAAAUACAUAACUUAAAUAAUUGUUUCUGAGUUAUUUUGAAGUCAUGAAUGCUGACAUACCACACAACUAUACAAAAAUAGAGUUAUACUAAAUUAUAAUUGCUACUCUUUCUUGAUAUUCAUAGUUAAAAAUUAAAUAAUCUUAUAGACAUAUUUUUAUUUUAGACAUAUAUAAAUAGUAUACUGUUUAAUAAUGUUUUACAAUAU